AAUAGAGUUUGAUUUAGCUUCUUCCAAACCCUAUUCCAAUAUAUUUUUGGGUUUAAUGGUUUAUUUAUUUUUUAAGUUAUAUUAGAUAGUCAUGCCCAUUCUUGUCAUGCAAUGUUGUUUUUAAUAUUGCCAUUCAUAAAUAAAGAAUCUAGUCCAACAUGCCAUAUAUAUGUGAAAUUCCUUAGGCAUGGCUAAAGCUAUAGAAAUUGAGAUUUUUUAAAAUACCAGAUAGAACAUUUUUCAAAAGGAUGUACAAUGUAUAUAUAAUACCCUUUUUUCUUUACUGGAUUAAUAAACAUAAAUUAUUUUGCAGUAUUUGAAUUCCUUUUCGAGUUUUUAGAAUAUGGUGGGUUUUUUUUAAAUUGAUGAACUAUAUUUUAAAGCCAUUUGUUGUUAAUUAUUACAUGUACAUGUAACGGUAUUGGUGUGUAGCAUGUUUAUUGAAGAAUAUCUUUCUGUGUUUUCUAAAAUUUUCUAGAUUCCUGUCUGUAUUAUGAUCAUUGUCAAUUUCUGUGUGGAGUAAAUAUUCUAAUAAUGAAAAUAACAAAUCCUGAUGCCGAUAGAAAUGGAUUCAACUAAAAUUCUACAAAAUCACCACUUUAAAUCGUUGCCAUACAGUGAUAUGUGCAACUACAUGUAUAAUGUAGAUAUUUUGAAUUUUGAAAAAUAACUUCUAAAGGCAGACAUGUUAAAUGGCAGGUAGUGAUUAUGGUGUUUCAGUUAUUGUGAAUUGACCUCUAAACAUGUACCUUCAAUGUACAAUAAAUUAUGUAAUAUGUACUAGUAUAUGAUUUAAGACAUUGCCAUAACUAAGUGCAUGUUUACUGUACAGAAUUUCUCCAAUAGUUUGUUGGUGUAUAUUUUUUUUUUCCCUAAAGAUUAUAAAAUCAAGAUUUUUUUUUAUUUUUGCUUCACAGAGUUUAUUUAGAAAGAUGAAACAUAAAAAUAAACAAAAUGUGAAAAUAC
rnacentral:sRNA from 1 species